AAAGCACGUUGAUACACCGGUUCUCAUACAAUUACCGAAUUUAAGCAACGUCGAGACUUGUCGGUACCUAAAUGGGUGACCUCUUGGGAAUACCUGGUGUUGUAA